GACGAACGCUGGCGGCGUGCUUAACACAUGCAAGUCGAACGGAAAGGCCCUGCUUUUGUGGGGUGCUCGAGUGGCGAACGGGUGAGUAACACGUGAGUAACCUGCCCUUGACUUUGGGAUAACUUCAGGAAACUGGGGCUAAUACCGGAUAGGAGCUCCUGCUGCAUGGUGGGGGUUGGAAAGUUUCGGCGGUUGUGGAUGGACUCGCGGCUUAUGAGCUUGUUGGUGGGGUAGUGGCUUACCAGGGCUUUGACGGGUAGCCGGCCUGAGAGGGGGACCGGCCACAUUGGGACUGAGAUACGGCCCAGACGCCUACGGGAGGCAGCAGUGGGGAAUAUUACACAAUGGGCGGAAGCCUGAUGCAACAACGCCGCGUGCGGGAUGACGGCCUUCGGGUUGUAAACCGCUUUCGCCUGUGACGAAGCGUGAGUGACGGUAAUGGGUAAAGAAGCACCGGCUAACUACGUG
rnacentral:rRNA from 1 species